CCUACGGGUGGCUGCAGUGGGGAAUAUUGCACAAUGGGCACAAGCCUGAUGCAGCCAUGCCGCGUGUGUGAAGAAGGCCUUCGGGUUGUAAAGCACUUUCAGCGGGGAGGAAGGCGUUAAGGUUAAUAACCUUGGCGAUUGACGUUACCCGCAGAAGAAGCACCGGCUAACUCCGUGCCAGCAGCCGCGGUAAUACGGAGGGUGCAAGCGUUAAUCGGAAUUACUGGGCGUAAAGCGCACGCAGGCGGUCUGUCAAGUCGGAUGUGAAAUCCCCGGGCUCAACCUGGGAACUGCAUUCGAAACUGGCAGGCUAGAGUCUUGUAGAGGGGGGUAGAAUUCCAGGUGUAGCGGUGAAAUGCGUAGAGAUCUGGAGGAAUACCGGUGGCGAAGGCGGCCCCCUGGACAAAGACUGACGCUCAGGUGCGAAAGCGUGGGGAGCAAACAGGAUUAGAUACCCUUGUAGUC
rnacentral:rRNA from 1 species